CCUACGGGUGGUAGCAGUGGGGAAUAUUGCGCAAUGGGCGAAAGCCUGACGCAGCAACGCCGCGUGAGGGAUGAAGGUCUUCGGAUCGUAAACCUCUGUCAGCAGGGAAGAACGGUCACUGUGCUAAUCAGCAGUGAGUUGACGGUACCUGCAAGGGAAGCACCGGCUAACUCCGUGCCAGCAGCCGCGGUAAUACGGAGGGUGCGAGCGUUAAUCGGAAUUACUGGGCGUAAAGCUAUCGUAGGCGGUAUGUAAAGUCAAGGGUGAAAUCCCCGCGCUCAACGUGGGAACUGCCUUUGAAACCUGCAAACUGGAGGGUGUGAGAGGAUAGUGGAAUUUCAGGGGGAGGAG
rnacentral:rRNA from 1 species